GAGUCGAGUUGUUUGGGACUGCAGCUCUAAGUGGGUGGUAAAUUCCAUCUAAAGCUAAAUAUUGGCGAGAGACCGAUAGCGAACAAGUACCGUGAGGGAAAGAUGAAAAGCACUUUGGAAAGAGAGUUAAACAGUACGUGAAAUUGUUGAAAGGGAAACGAUUGAAGUCAGUCAUGCUCUUUGGUAUUUA
rnacentral:rRNA from 1 species